UACGUAGGGCGCAAGCGUUGUCCGGAAUUAUUGGGCGUAAAGAGCUCGUAGGCGGCUUGUCACGUCGAUUGUGAAAGCUCGGGGCUUAACCCCGAGUCUGCAGUCGAUACGGGCUAGCUAGAGUGUGGUAGGGGAGAUCGGAAUUCCUGGUGUAGCGGUGAAAUGCGCAGAUAUCAGGAGGAACACCGGUGGCGAAGGCGGGUCUCUGGGCCGAUACUGACGCUGAGGAGCGAAAGCGUGGGGAGCGAACAGG
rnacentral:rRNA from 1 species